AUGAACGCUGGCGGCGUGCCUAAUACAUGCAAGUCGAGCGAACGGACGAGAAGCUUGCUUCUCUGAUGUUAGCGGCGGACGGGUAGGUAACACGUGGAUAACCUACCUAUAAGACUGGGAUAACUUCGGGAAACCGGAGCUAAUACCGGAUAAUAUUUUGAACCGCAUGGUUCAAAAGUGAAAGACGGUCUUGCUGUCACUUAUAGAUGGAUCCGCGCUGCAUUAGCUAGUUGGUAAGGUAACGGCUUACCAAGGCAACGAUGCAUAGCCGACCUGAGAGGGUGAUCGGCCACACUGGAACUGAGACACGGUCCAGACUCCUACGGGAGGCAGCAGUAGGGAAUCUUCCGCAAUGGGCGAAAGCCUGACGGAGCAACGCCGCGUGAGUGAUGAAGGUCUUCGGAUCGUAAAACUCUGUUAUUAGGGAAGAACAUAUGUGUAAGUAACUGUGCACAUCUUGACGGUACCUAAUCAGAAAGCCACGGCUAACUACGUG
rnacentral:rRNA from 1 species